rnacentral:lncRNA from 10 species
UUCAAGGAUCUAGAUUAUUUCAAUAAUCUUGGUCUUCAUUACAUUUCAGAGUGUUUUAGUUCUUUGAAAAUUAUUGGCAUCUUGGUAAGUGAUAAGAUAGGCUUAAUAUCACUGAACUUUACACUAUUCAGUCAAAGGAUAUAUAAAACGGUGAUAGAUACUUCAAGCUUUUGUUGGUAAUAAACUGGAAUAUUCAUAUUAUGGGAAAAAAUGUAAAGUGCUUGUGCCAGUUAAGGUAAUAUAACUUAUAUAAAAUAUAAAUACCACAAUUUUAGUGACUUAACACAAUGGAAGUGUCACGGGAUCCUUGGGGUUGUGGCUUCGCCAGCCGGAAACCUCUGUGGCCAGCGGCGCCUUCUGCCUGAGUAUUACUCCAGCCCACUGGGUUUGUUCCUUUCACUCGGACCGGCAGGCUGCGCUCAGCUCACAUUACCAGCCUGGAUCCCAUACCUGCCAAGGGCGAGCCAGAUGCAGAGCGACAGAGCUCUUUCAGUCGUGCCAUUUGGCAUGUCCUGAGUUCUUGUCGCUGUGUGCAGGAAGAAUGAAGUAUGCAGACAAUUGGAGGGUGAGCAAGGCGAAGAGGAGCUUCCUUGAGCGACAGAACAGCUCUCAGGAAACCGGAAGUAAGUAGUUCCUUUCCACAGGCACGUCUUCCGAUGUCCGUGCAGCCCUCCGCAGAGAGCAGACCCAGAGUGUGUAACUCCUACCCACAGGCAGGUUGUCCGCACAUCUGUUGGAGUCUGGCUGAGUCAGGGUUUUUAAGGGUUCAGAGGGGAGGAAGUAUGUGCUGAUUGGUCUAUGGGCAGCCAUGGGUGGGCCUGGAAAAAACACCUUAAGUUCUCACUCUGGUCUGUGGAUUCCACCCUGAACUGACAGCCCAGCCCCCAUGCUUUGGGCAGUUCCUCGCUUGAAGGUAGGGCUUCACUGAGGACCCACCCCUUUCUGCCCAGAAGCCUGUCUGCCGCUUGCCACCAUCAAUCAUAUUCAUGGCGCCCAGGCUGUUUGUGCUGAGGAGCGCCUGAAGGCCUGCAGCGAGCUGGCUCAGUGCCCCCAUGCUCGUUGGCACCCAAAGUCCAGAGGGGGCCACGGUGGCAGGGGGCUGACAUGUCAGUGCCACCCCAAGCGCUCACACACCCAGCUGGGUUGCAACAGCACUUGGGCUUGGCCUCAACUUUGCUCUGCACCUGGAACAGGCACCGGGAGCAGGGAGAGGCCAGGCAGUGGGAGCAGGCACUUUGAAGCCUGCAGCGGCAGGGGAGCUUUCUGUGGCUCCCAAGAGCGCAGGAAAUGCCUGGGUCUGGAGCUACAGCUGUGCAUAGUAGGGAGGGGCUUCCAGCCUACCAACUCGGAAUGGGUUGGGGCUCCUUCCUGUUCCUGGCUCCUGCCCACUCUACGGAGCACGCAGCUCUGGCCUUGCCUUCCCUGCUGCAGCCAGCGUCUUCAGAGCAGCUUCUCAAGAUGGGCAGCCACUGCCAUCAGAAGUCCAAAACAAGAAUUCCUGACUGGCAAAGUUGGUGAUACUAAGGAAAGAGAAGGGGAAUAACUCCAUCCAGCAGAAUGACAUGAUAUGGACAAGGAACAGCACAUCUAGGAUGUGAAAUGUUGAAUAUACUAAGAAUUGAGCUGAAUAAACAUCUACUUCUGACAAUAUGGUGGACUGGAGGCUCUGGAGUACUCUUCUCCUACAAACAACUAGAUCCUGCAUAGAUCACAUUCUCCUCUCUCAGGACAAUUCCUAAUACUACCUCCAAAUACAAUCAACCAACUAACCAACCAAACGAAGUGCACAGGUCCAGAGCUGAGAAUAGUAUCCACUGGGAAAUGGGAGGCAGAAGUGCUCCAAUAGUUGCUCAAAGAAAUACUGGCAUCCAGAAAUGGACCAGUUAACAGUGAAUGAUCUGAGCCUGAGACUUUCUUGUCCACUCUAGUGGGUGACUGAAAUUAUGCCAGGUUUAUGGCAACCUCUAGCUAUGUGCAGAUACAGAAAAAGCAUCUCAACUCUAGUUCUUCAAGAGUCCAGCACAUUUUCAAUCUCAAAGAACUCACAACGAUCACCAAGCACUGGAGGAGACAAGCUGCUAUUAAUGACAAUCAACAGAAACCUUUAGCAACAGAUUUAGUCCUGUAAGUACUUUAGAUAUUGGACAUGUUAGGAUCAGAAUAUGGAAAAAGCUGUAUAUGAAAUAUUUAAAUAAACAUGGAAUCACAAAAGCAGGCAGGUAACAAAAAUGGAAUUCUUUUUUUUAUAUCUUAUUGAGAAUGUAUUAAUAUUUGUACUACCUCUAGGGCUAUUUGCAUUUUAAAUCUCUUCUCUAGAAGUUCUCUUAGACUCCAUAUUAAAGGACUCAGAUACAUAGGCAGAUUUCUUGAAAGCAAUCAUGGACAUUUAAAUUCAGGUAAGACAACCACAUCUAUGUAAUAGUAGACUUGUAAAUCCACAAAUAGCAAAAAUGGAAUUCUUAAAAUGAAUCAUUGAAAACAAUUAAAUGGAUGUAGUAAACAGCAUUUUAUGAGUCAACCUCUGAGCCAAUGGGUUGACAUGAGUUGACAUGUAAUGAAAUAGAGUUUCUCAUGGUGUCCUGAACUAGAACACCCAGAGCUUCUCCAUAAUGGGAAAGGGUGAAAUGUUUGCUGAUGGGAGAGCCCUUGGGAAUGGAAAAACAAUUUGACAGAAUUUGUAGCUACGAUUACUUAUAUUAAAAUUAUUUUAGCAGUUUUAUAUGUUUUAAUUUCCAAUUAAGAUAUAUUGUAAUUUUUUGUUUCCAUGUUUUCCUUUUUCAUAAUAUCAUGAUCUUACUUUACAAGUGCAAUAUUUCGGCUGGGUGUGCUGGCUAACACCUGUAAUCCCAGCACUUUGGGAAGCUGAGGUCGGUGGAUCACCUGAGGUCAGGAGUUUGAGACCAGCCUGACCAACAUGGCAAAACCCCUUCUCUACUAAAAAUACAAAAAUUACCCAGGCGUGCUGGCUCACACCUGUAAUCUCAGCACUUUGGGAGGCCAAGGCGGGCAGAUUGCCUAAGCUCAGGGGUUCGAGACCAACCUGGUUAAUAUGGACAAACCCUGUCUUUACUGAAAAUACAAAAAUUAGCCAGGCAUGGUGGCAG